rnacentral:other from 1 species
CAGCAAAAAGCCAGAACGGCUUGAUUCCUUGUUGAAUCAAUUGGCAUAUUGUUGCGAUGUUGUGUUUGCAAACUCGUAUUUCGAGUUAGGUAGGUUUCUACCACCGUUUCAUUUCAAUGAAUGAAGUGAAACAUACUUCCUGUAUUUAUUUUGACCUGUCUGUCAAAUUUUUUAGCACCGCCUAUAUGGCGGUGUUUUUUUAU